AGGAUCUUUGUAGUGGUUUUACUCACAAUAGUUCAAUGUCCCAUUUCUGUGAGAAUUCACUCUCCAGGGGAUGAUUGACAAUUACAUAGUUCUUGUCAUAAUAAUUUCCUCCUAAAAAUAGAAGUUCAUUAAGGCAAGGUUAAUUACAAACAGACUGCCGCUUCUUCAAUGGAGUAUAUAUAUUGUACAUUGAAAAUUAAGUGUCUAUAAAACAGAGAAAACUUGUUGCAAAGUUACUCAGACUUCUAAGCUUUAAAGUGAAUCUCAUGUUAAAAAUUGACUUUUUCCUAGAGCAACCAAAAGCUGUAUGAGGUUUUGGAGGGCGGCGAGUGGGUUAUUGUCACUGGGAGUACAGCAUUGACUCUUCAUGUCUUUUAUUCAGCUGUAAAUUGGCUACAGUGCCUGUCACUCUGUCUGAUGGCAUAGAGGUGCUGGGUCUUUAUGAAUAUUUCAUUAAGAGGAGGAGCUCUCUACCUUCCACUCCCUCUAUCCACUCAUGAGGGCUCUCAGCUUCUUUCCACCUUAAACACCACUACUUGUCAACUCCACCCUGUCUCUUCUACUCACGCUCUCCAUCUCUGUACACUCAAUCUUCACUUGACCCCUCUUCCCCACACUUCUUUCCAUCUCCCUCCUCCACAGUCAACUUUGAGUGCCUUGAAUUUUCCCCCUCCACUCAGAGCCUUUGAAUGGGGAGGGUAGUAGCACUCAAAGGUUACACACAACCGCUUCACAGCAAAGGAUCUCUGCUGCCUUUGUACUCCUGGCCCCUCCUGGAGAUCUUUGUCCUGGGUCUUCUGUGAUUGUGCCCUUUUUCUCCUCACCUUGCUGGUUGUACCUUAUGUCCUUCCCUGGAGAGACAGGUCACUCAAAUACUGAUCAUAGAAAUGAGAGGUGGGAGAGACCUAUAGCAGCGUCAGCAGGCUUAUCCUAUACAGCAUUGUACUUCACAGUACAGUUUCUGGUUCUUAAAAUUAGACCCGAUAAACAGUCUCAAGCAAAGGGUUUGCUACCGCUUCCCUCUGGAAAUCACUAGAGGGCCUAAUAUUUCCCCCCUGCAUAUUCAUCCUAAAUCUCACUCUCUUCAUCCCAUUGCUAACUCUGUUUCCUUGUAUUGUCUUCUCAGAACUCUCUCCAGCUUGUCAAUAGAUUUCUUGCAUUAUAGCACUCAGAAACAAACAUUAAGAUUUCAGCUGCCAGUUUCAUGCAUAUUGGCCAAAUAAGAAUUAGAGAGACAGCAAGCACACUCUCAGUUUUAUUAUUUCCCUUAGAAGGAUUUUUAGUUUCAAGUGUAUCUGUGCUCAGGAAAAGCCUUUUUGCCAGGGUGAAGAAUUAAGGGACUGUAGAACUGAAAACUGGCUCUCAGCCAUUCCCUUAAAUGCAUUUCUGCUUCUUGUAACUGGCAAAUCCACAGCUCCAGCUACAACUAUCAGCGCAGUUUAGAGGUGUAGAAUGCCACAAUCUACAGGGUUUGCCUUUCAUUGGCUGUUUCCCACGUGACUCCAGGUAGCACAGACAACGACUGUAGUAGCGCUAGCGUGCAUUUAACAGGUCACAAACCGCAAAUACCAAAGAGUUAAAUGCUCCUAGGGACCUGCUAUUUAUAACUGCAUUUUAAAUUUCUUUUCAGACACCCAAAGAACAUAGUAUUCAACAACUCUAUUACUCCUGUACCAACCUGGUCACUUCAAUAUUAGAUCCUGCAUAAGAUAAAGCAACACAGGUUUAAACAAUUUCAACAUGUAUCCUGUUAAAUAGACACUGCUUUUUAAAAUGUCUGAUUUCAUAUUUUAAAACCUGUUGUCCAUGUUGCUAAUAAGGAAAAUUUUGUAUUUAAUGAUUUAGGAUCAAGCUACGCACAACAAAAUUAAUGAUUAAUUAAAAUUAAAACAUAAGAGCCCGAAUUACUCUUAAUUUAA